AAAUGAACGCUGGCGGCGUGCUUAACACAUGCAAGUCGCACGAGAACGCUUCAGCUUGCUGAAGUUAGUAAAGUGGCGCACGGGUGAGUAACGCGUGGGUAAUCUACCCCCGAAUUGGGGAUAACAUCGCGAAAGCGAUGCUAAUACCGGAUAAUAUCUCAAAAACCUCGGUUUUAAAGAUCAAAGGUGGCCUCUACAUGUAAGCUUCUGUUUGGGGAUGAGCCCGCGUACCAUUAGCUUGUUGGUAGGGUAAUGGCCUACCAAGGCUGCGAUGGUUAGCUGGUCUGAGAGGAUGAUCAGCCACACUGGAACUGACACACGGUCCAGACUCCUACGGGAGGCAGCAGUGAGGAAUUUUGCGCAAUGGGGGAAACCCUGACGCAGCAACGCCGCGUGAGUGAUGAAGGCUUUCGGGUCGUAAAGCUCUGUCAAGUGGGAAGAACCCACAUGGUGAUAAUACCACUAUGUGUUGACGUUACCACUGAAGGAAGCACCGGCUAACUCCGUGCCAGCAGCCGCGGUAAUGCGGGGGGUGCAAGCGUUAUUCGGAAUUACUGGGCGUAAAGAGCGCGUAGGCGGUCUUUUAAGUCAGGUGUGAAAGCCCGGGGCUUAACCCCGGAAGUGCACUUGAAACUAUUAGACUUGAGUAUGGGAGAGGGAAGUGGAAUUCCUGGUGUAGCGGUGAAUGCGUAGAUAUCAGGAGGAACAUCGGUGGCGAAGGCGACUUCCUGGACCAAUACUGACGCUGAGGCGCGAAGGCGUGGGGAGCAAACAGGAUAGAUACCCUGGUAGUCCACGCAGUAAACGGUGAUCACUAGGUGUAGCGGGUAUUGACCCCUGCUGUGCCGCAGCAAACGCAUUAAGUGAUCCGCCUGGGGAGUACGACCGCAAGGUUAAAACUCAAAGGAAUUGACGGGGGCCCGCACAAGCGGUGGAGCAUGUGGUUUAAUUCGACGCAACGCGAAGAACCUUACCUGGAUUUGACAUCCCGGGAAUCUUUUGGAAACAUCAGAGUGCCCUUCGGGGAGCCCGGUGACAGGUGCUGCAUGGCUGUCGUCAGCUCGUGUCGUGAGAUGUUGGGUUAAGUCCCGCAACGAGCGCAACCCCUUUCUUUAGUUACCAUCAUUUAGUUGGGGACUCUAAAGAUACUGCCCCGGUUAACAGGGAGGAAGGUGGGGAUGACGUCAAGUCCUCAUGGCCUUUAUGUCCAGGGCUACACACGUGCUACAAUGGGCUGUACAAAGGGUUGCCAACCCGCGAGGGUGAGCCAAUCCCAGAAAGCAGUUCGUAG
rnacentral:rRNA from 1 species